CUCUGCUCCAUCUCCCUCCCUUCCUCCAUCUCUCUCUCUCCCCCCUUACCCCUCCCUUUUCCUCCCUCUCUCUCUCUCUCUUCCUCUUCUCUCUCUCUCUUCCUCCCUCUUUCGUCCGCUCUCCUCCCUCCCCAAAUAUAUAUAUAUAUAUAUAUCUCCCUCUCCCCAGCUCUCCCUCCCUCUCUCCCCCUCCCUCUCUUUCUCUCCUCCUUUUUCUCCUCUUUCCUCUCUUUCUCUCCCUCCCUCUGUGUCUCUCUUUCCUUCUCUCUCUGCCAUCUCCUUCUCCAUCUCUGUCUCUCCCUCCUCCUCCCCCUCCCCCAUCCCUCUCUCUCUUUCCCUCCCUCUCUGUCUCUCUCUCUUUCUCUCUCUCCCAUUUCCUUCUCCAUCUCUGCCUCUCCCUCCCCCUACCCCUCCCUAGCUCUGGCAUUCAGGGAUUCGUAUUUCCUUUCUGAUGCUGGCAACCAGAGGCUGCUGCGCAGUUUCUCUUCUCAGACACCCUGCGGUGGCUGACUAGUCAGAAGGACAGUGGAAGAGGGGAUUCGAAGCUGCAUUUGCAGACAACCAUAGGAAACUAAAACACAUGCCAAUAAGGUGCUGGACCCAGAACAGGAGAACAGCAGCUCAGUCCAUGUGAGUGAUUGUUAUUCCCCUUGCCUUUCCCCGCGCAAGCCCCCGCAGCCCCAACCUUUGCAGCUGUUGUUCCUCAGCUGGGAGAACCCUUCCUUUUUUUUCUGUCUGGCAAGAUCUUUCUUACGAUUUUUUUUUUCCAAAACUGUUCUGUAACAUCCUCUGAGGUUCUAAGUUUUCUCUCAGUCUCUAGAGUAAAGUUAAUUGUCUCUUCAUAGCUUUCUUCUCAUCCAUUUUCGUGUUUAUCACGGAUUGUGAUGAUUUUGUUUUUCUUUAACAUCCCCCCGCCAGACAGUGAGGCUAAAUGCGUCCAGUGCUGGAGGCUCACACAGUAGAUGCUGAGGAAAUGCAAAAAAUAAAUAACAAAUUAAAUACAUAAAUACUAU
rnacentral:lncRNA from 10 species